rnacentral:lncRNA from 1 species
AUUUUGGAGAGCAAUUAUCCUUCCUAUUCUCUGCAUCAAGCAGAUUACAUUUCCCACAGCAGCAAAUUUGGAAGGACGCUGAACACAAGCUCUUCAAAGAAGUCCACAGCAGGACCGGUAUAAGGUGCCAUUUUGACCAGCAUGAGGACGACAGGCCCUUGGACCAGGACCUGAUCUGGAAUUAAGCAUUCUACUAGCAACAAUGUGGAAGAUUUUCUCUCCCAUCCUCACUCCCCCAAAGGCAAAAAUCUUUUUAAUUACUUCACUGGUCCUUCAACAACAACAACAACAACUUGUGGAAACUGGAACUAGAAUAAUGGGGCCCAUGAAACUACAGUCAUCCCUCGUGAAACUCCCAGAAAACAUGGCGGACAUAAAACCUUGCAGAUUUCAAUGGAACCACCCAUCAGUUGAGCCAAUUCUGCCAAUGCUGAAGACAUCAAUCACUCAGAAUGACACGACCAGUUUCCAUGCAACAGAGGCUGGAAAUGUUGCUGCAUCAAUCAUCUUUCUGGGGAAAAAGCUUUGAGGAUGCUUGCNUUGGAGAAGCAGAAGCGCUCCUGCCCCCUGCACGCGGACACAGCCUACGACCGUCCCAGCAGAAGGAAGACAAUAUUUUUCACACACACCCCACAUUUGACUGGAAAAUCUUUUAACAUUUUUAAAUCAAAUGCAGGCUGCAGGCUUUUCAU